GCUGUCAACUGUCAAUUCAUCCCUCCAGACCACCUAGUCUUUUUUUCAACUUAAAGGGUCUAUACGUCGCGUCGUCCAUAUCUGUUUUCACUGUUUCUAAAUAGAUAAUAACUGAAAUAUAUUUGCAAUGAAUGCAACUUCAUUAAAAAGACCUUUACCGUCCGAUAGUCCUGGAUGUUCAAAAACUCCCAAGACCACCAAACCAUUCGAAUUCCCGAAGCAGCCUCAGCCUUAUACAGAUGAUAUGGCUGUUGUCCGCUGCAUAUACAGUAAGUCUUUGUGUUCUGUGCAUCUGAGCUGUUUUUGUGUUCGUGCCGAGGUCGAUGGACACAAUUUUCCGUGAUUUCAAGAAAAAUCAAUCAAUCCCACGGUGCAAAAAUACCGCAAUUUUCAACUACGUAAAAGGUCGCCAGGGAAAUUUUAUCCCUUUCAAAACUUCGGGUGCUGGACAAUUGCUUGUGACAAACGAAUUACUUUCGAUUCUAAUGGAAAAAUAUGAAAAUGACCAAGACUGUAAAGUAGAAUGCGGGUUUUUUGUGUAUCCGGUGAAAAAAUUAGAUUAUUUCUCGACUACAGUAUCACAAGAACAGGAAUAUUGGAAGAAAAAACUUGGAUCAUUUCUUAGUGCAUUGAUUGAAACCGGCGAAACAGUCGGCUACAUUGCAUCUCCAUGUUGGCACAAACAAUUGAACUGGAAUUCGUUGUACACAAUCAGCACUAAGUCGUGCAUUCCAUACAACGUAUACGUUCAUGAAAGUUACCCGAUCGAAUACGAAUGGCACCGAUAGGAAGGCUUCGCGGUGCCGUGUACUAAGUAGUGAGGCUCCACACCUGUCCACACCCUUAGGAGAAUUGAAAAUGUCCGACACAUACAUUUUACCUGAAGGAGACUAUGAACAUUCAAGUGAUGAAAACGAGUUUGAAAGCUCGAGUAUUGGUACAUUACGUCAAGAAGACAAUCGAACAUACAGACAUAAACUAUCUGUAAUACGUCAUCAAAGCGAACGUCCAUCCACUUUGCUAAAAUUCAUAAAUUCGGAAACAGCAAGAAGCAUGUGGAGCAGUGUCUGAAGUACAUACAUAGAGAAGGGAAACAACUAGGGAAGAAAUUCAAUAUUGUGACGAUAACUUUUGGCAGCCGAAGCUUUCGGGCUUCCAAAUUUGCCGACUUUUCACUCUUUCUCCAACAUCAGGAUCUCCAUGAAAGCGGAUUUGUGUUUUGUUGCAGUGCUGCUAAUGUAGUGGCUGCAGAAAAUGCAAUGCCAGAAAUCCCGCACCACCCACCGUCCUAUUUCAUGGACUGCAAACACUGUAUCGUUGUUGGCUCAUAUGCUCUCAACUAUGAAAAACAAUUCUGUGUGCCAUCAACAUUCGGUAGUGCUGGUUGCUGUGUCAGCGAUGAAGGAGAUACAGAGGAGAACUGUAGACAAGGUGUAACUACGUGGGCUUUGGGUGAAAAUGUUGUGAUUCCCAAAAUUAAGGACCAAAAGUACGACCAUAUUGUCAGUGGAACAUCUGUUUCAACAGCGGUGGUAAGUGGUGCCGCUAGUUUGAUUUUACCGAAAUUGAUUACGUAUAUAGACAGAAUGAAAGCAGACAAAUCAUGUUAUUCAUUGAAGUUUAAAAAUUUCCUUAACAACAAUUGUGACAAUUUUGUAUGUCCACGGCAUGGAACUAACAGAAAAAUAAUUUUAAAUCUAGAGAAAUUUAUGAAUCUGUCUGGUUAUGCAAAUAAACGUUAAUUU